CAGCUAUCCACGUGGAAGGCACCUGGAACAGAGGUGGGUACUGACUGAGCUUGCUACCUGGCCUGCUGCCUGGUGCCACCUGCACUGAGCUAAAGCAGACAACUCACUGCUGUCCUCAAGCGGUAAGUCAAGGGAGCACGGGUUUUGCUGAGACAGCAACAGCCACCCGAUGAUGAAAUCAACGGUCGGUCGGAGUGGAAGAGAGGAAAUACGUAGCAUCUUCCAGCUGGACAAGGAACUGACUUUUUGGAGGCUGAGAUCUAGCAACAUCCUGGAACUGAUACAAAAGAAAUUAUUUAGGGGGCUACGAGAGGAGCAAUUUACAAACUGAUAAAGGACCCCAAGUAUCUGACCAGCAAGCCCAAGCAAGGAUUCGGUGUUUCCGAGAGCGCCUUGGGGGAUCUGCACUGCGUCUCUGAAGAAAAAGAUGAAAAACGCAGUGGAAAAAUGAACAAGGGAUCCGAGUGUCAUCGUAAACACUCAAACCUGUUCAACUUCACUUAGAAUUAGAGACUUGGAAAUCCCUGCCCAUGAAGAACCCAUCUUAAUGGCAAGGAUCACAAGUUUGGCCACAUGCCUUACAACAGAUGGGCUUCAAUCUAGAUCUCAGCAUCCUGCCUCAGCAUCCUAGGGUUCAAGGAUAAUUGUGCACCACCACGCCCUGUUUCUGUCACAAUUCUGAAAGAAGUUCUGCAAAACACAAAUGUGUGUCCCACCUCAGCUCCAAGCAACACCCGAGGCCUGGAUGGUAACACCCAUAUCACCAACCAAAGACCUGCCACUGCCAACCCAGAUGCUCUGAGGGGCCUUUGUCUGGAAGCCAUCCCCACUAGCUAUUGUAUUAGCUCAGAUUUGGAUCCCAUCAUUAAACUUUACUCUUUGACUUCA
rnacentral:lncRNA from 1 species